rnacentral:rRNA from 1 species
UACGAAGGGGGCUAGCGUUGUUCGGAAUCACUGGGCGUAAAGGGCGCGUAGGCGGCCUGAUAAGUCGGGGGUGAAAGCCUGUGGCUCAACCACAGAAUUGCCUUCGAUACUGUUAGGCUUGAGACCGGAAGAGGUAAGUGGAACUGCGCGUGUAGAGGUGAAAUUCGUAGAUAUUCGCAAGAACACCAGUGGCGAAGGCGGCUCACUGGUCCGGUUCUGACGCUGAGGCGCGAAAGCGUGGGGAGCAAACAGG